GACGACGCUGGCGGCGUGCUUAAUACAUGCAAGUCGAACGGAGCCUAGCUGGUGGUUUACUACCGGCGAAAGCUUAGUGGCGGACGGGUGAGUAACGCGUGGGUAAUCUACCCCUAAGUCCGGGAUAACAGAGCGAAAGUUCUGCUAAUACCGGAUACUCUUCCCGGGUCGCAUGGUCUGGGAAGGAAAGGUUUACUGCUUAGGGAUGAGCCCGCGUCCCAUUAGCUAGUUGGUGAGGUAACGGCUCACCAAGGCGACGAUGGGUAGCCGGCCUGAGAGGGUGGACGGCCACACUGGGACUGAGACACGGCCCAGACUCCUACGGGAGGCAGCAGUAGGGAAUUUUCCGCAAUGGGCGAAAGCCUGACGGAGCAACGCCGCGUGAGGGAAGAAGGUCUUCGGAUCGUAAACCUUUGUCAUCGGGGACGAUCAUGACGGUACCCGAGGAGGAAGCCCCGGCUAACUACGUG
rnacentral:rRNA from 1 species